rnacentral:rRNA from 1 species
CAGUAGCCGCGGUAAUACGUAGGGUGCGAGCGUUAAUCGGAAUUACUUGGCGUAAAGCGUGCGCAGGCGGUUCGUUAAGACAGAUGUGAAAUCCCCGGGCUUAACCUGGGAACUGCAUUUGUGACUGGCGAGCUAGAGUAUGGCAGAGGGGGGUAGAAUUCCACGUGUAGCAGUGAAAUGCGUAGAGAUGUGGAGGAAUACCGAUGGCGAAGGCAGCCCCCUGGGCCAAUACUGACGCUCAUGCACGAAAGCGUGGGGAGCAAACAGGAUUAGAUACCCCAGUAGUCCCUGUCUCUUAUAC